rnacentral:rRNA from 1 species
CCCUUAGAUGUCCGGGGCCGCACGCGCGCUACACUGAAGGAAUCAGCGUGGCUUUCUCCCUGACCCGAAAGGGUUGGGAAACCCGUUGAAUCUCCUUCGUGAUAGGGAUUGGGGCUUGAAAUUGUUCCCCAUGAACGAGGAAUUCCCAGUAGCGCGAGUCAUAAGCUCGCGUUGAUUACGUCCCUGCCCUUUGUACACACCGCCCGUCGCUACUACCGAUUGAACGGUUUAGUGAGGGCCUCGGAUUGGUCUCGGCCCGCUCUUUACCGGGCGGCGCCGUUGGUCGAGAAGACGCUCGAACUUGAUCGUUUAGAGGAAGUAAAAGUCGUAACA